rnacentral:rRNA from 1 species
UACAGAGGGUGCGAGCGUUGUUCGGAAUUAUUGGGCGUAAAGCGCUGGUAGGUGGCUUGUUAAGUCGCGUGUGAAAGCUUCCGGCUCAACCGGAAAAGUGCGCGCGAAACUGGCGAGCUUGAGUGCCGGAGAGGGUCGCGGAAUUCCCAGUGUAGAGGUGAAAUUCGUAGAUAUUGGGAGGAACACCAGAGGCGAAGGCGGCGACCUGGAGGGUAACUGACACUGAGGCACGAAAGCGUGGGGAGCAAACAGG